UGUCGUGAGAUGUUGGGUUAAGUCCCGCAACGAGCGCAACCCUCGCCUUUAGUUACCAUCAUUCAGUUGGGUACUCUAAAGGAACCGCCGGUGAUAAGCCGGAGGAAGGUGGGGAUGACGUCAAGUCCUCAUGGCCCUUACGCGCUGGGCUACACACGUGCUACAAUGGCGACUACAGUGGGCUGCAAUCCCGCGAGGGUGAGCUAAUCUCCAAAAGUCGUCUCAGUUCGGAUUGUUCUCUGCAACUCGAGAGCAUGAAGGCGGAAUCGCUAGUAAUCGCGGAUCAGCAUGCCGCGGUGAAUACGUUCCCAGGCCUUGUACACACCGCCCGUCACACCAUGGGAGUUGGGUUCACCCGAAGGCGUUGCGCUAACUCGCAAGAG
rnacentral:rRNA from 1 species